rnacentral:rRNA from 1 species
AUUGAACGCUGGCGGCAGGCCUAAGACAUGCAAGUCGAGCGAGAAAGUACUUCGGUACGAGUACAGCGGCGGACGGGUGAGUAACGCGUAGGAAUCUACCUAGUAGUGGGGGACAACUCGUGGAAACGCGAGCUAAUACCGCAUACGCCCUACGGGGGAAAGCGGGGGAUCUUCGGACCUCGUGCUAUUAGAUGAGCCUGCGUAAGAUUAGCUAGUUGGUGGGGUAAAGGCCUACCAAGGCGACGAUCUUUAGCUGGUCUGAGAGGAUGAUCAGCCACACCGGGACUGAGACACGGCCCGGACUCCUACGGGAGGCAGCAGUCGGGAAUAUUGCGCAAUGGGCGAAAGCCUGACGCAGCCAUGCCGCGUGUGUGAAGAAGGCCCUAGGGUUGUAAAGCACUUUCAAUUGGGAGGAAAAGCUAAUGGUUAAUAGCCAUUAGCCCUGACGUUACCUUUAGAAGAAGCACCGGCUAACUCCGUGCCAGCAGCCGCGGUAAUACGGAGGGUGCAAGCGUUAAUCGGAAUUACUGGGCGUAAAGCGCGCGUAGGCGGCUCUUUAAGUCGGAUGUGAAAGCCCCGGGCUCAACCUGGGAACUGCAUCCGAUACUGGGGAGCUAGAGUGUAGGAGAGGGAGGUAGAAUUCCAUGUGUAGCAGUGAAAUGCGUAGAUAUAUGGAGGAAUACCAGUGGCGAAGGCGGCCUCCUGGCUUAACACUGACGCCUGAG